UGCUGAGGCUGCCUUUGAACCCGUGAUCCUCCUGCCUCAGCCCCCCGGGCCGCUGGCAUUACAGGCGUGUGCCCCUGUGCCUGGCCUUGUGAUUUUUUCUUCAUGUGCAUUGAAACACCCAUCCCAUUUGCCCCUAGGAAUUAAGUGCCACGAUUCUCCACACUUUCCAGGUGAGGAGAGAACUGGGCAGUGCUGGGGGAGGGGGGCCUAAGGGACCUGCCCACAGUCAAGAGGGAGAAGUGACGCGGCCACUCGUGUUGAAGCUGGCCAGCCCUCGAUGCUGAUCUCCCGGCUCCGCCACCUCUCUUUGCUGGGGCGCCACCAAAAGAUGUCUCAGCGGUUGUUCAUUUAAAAAGCAGGAAAUGUUUUUGGAAAAUGUUAGCAUUUAAGGGACGCCGGGUAAAGAGAAAUGGGAACUCGGUGCAUUUUUGCAAUUUUUUAAACCUAAAAUCAUUCCAAAGUAAAAGUUUAUGAAAAAGAAAAACACCUCAAAGAGCUAUGUGUUCAUCUAUGUUCAUAACAGACGGAAACCAUCCCCGUCCAUG
rnacentral:lncRNA from 1 species